GACGAACCGAGCGAACGUUGUUCGGAAUCACUGGGCGUAAAGGGCGCGUAGGCGGGAUGGCAAGUCGGUCGUGAAAUCCUUCGGCUCAACCGAAGAACGUCGGCCGAUACUGCCGUUCUUGAGGGAUGCAGAGGAGAUUGGAAUUCCCGGUGUAGCGGUGAAAUGUGUAGAGAUCGGGAGGAACACCGGUGGCGAAGGCGGGUCUCUGGACGGCAACUGACGCUGAGGCACGAAAGCGUGGGGAGCAAACAGG
rnacentral:rRNA from 1 species